UUGAGACCGGCGCACGGGUGCGUAACGCGUAUGCAAUCUGCCUUCCACAGAGGGAUAGCCCAGAGAAAUUUGGAUUAAUACCUCAUAGCAUCAUGACCCGGCAUCGGGAUAUGAUUAAAGUCACAACGGUGGAAGAUGAGCAUGCGUCCCAUUAGCUAGUUGGUAAGGUAACGGCUUACCAAGGCUACGAUGGGUAGGGGUCCUGAGAGGGAGAUCCCCCACACUGGUACUGAGACACGGACCAGACUCC
rnacentral:rRNA from 1 species